CCUACUCGAUGAGCUACCGAUCACCACCACCACAUCAUAGAUGUUUUUUGUCUGGGAAAGGAGUGGAGACAAUUCUUCCAGGCAAGCAAUAAGCCAACUUGCCCUGCGCUGCAAAAAGGAAUGAUCAACUUUGCCGUGUAGUAUGUCUUAAUUAUAUUUAUAUGCUACAAUGAUAUUGUAUUGUUUUUGGAUUUAAUAAGCUUGUGAACAUGCA
rnacentral:lncRNA from 1 species